CAAAGGUGAAAACACAAUGCUCAAAUUUAUACAGACUGGACUGGGUUUCCAUCAGUUUGGAAUUUGGUCUACUCCGAAGUUGUUCUGAGGAUGCCUAAAGGAUUUCUCCGCAUCAAGUCUGGGCAUCUCUUCCUCAGCCCCUGCACUAAGUUGUUGGGGAACCACCAAGCUACAGAGAUGUUGGCACUUUAUGCAAUACUAACCAGCCCUUUUUUCCAUUCCAAGGUACUACCUUCUCUGCUACAAGUCGAGCGAGGAGCCCCGCAUGAGCCCUGACACCUGUGCCACCAUUUUGGAAAAAGCUGGUCUCGAUAACUGGGCUCUUGGAAAAACAAAAGUGUUCCUUAAGUAUUAUCACGUGGAGCAGUUAAAUCUAAUGCGAAAGGAAGCUAUUGACAAGCUUAUUUUGAUUCAAGCUUGUGUCAGAGCAUUCUUGUGUUCAAGAAGAUACCAAAAAAUACAGG
rnacentral:lncRNA from 10 species